rnacentral:rRNA from 1 species
GAUGAACGCUGGCGGCGUGCCUAAUACAUGCAAGUCGAGCGAACAGACGAGGAGCUUGCUCCUCUGACGUUAGCGGCGGACGGGUGAGUAACACGUGGAUAACCUACCUAUAAGACUGGGAUAACUUCGGGAAACCGGAUCUAAUACCGGAUAAUAUAUUGAACCGCAUGGUUCAAUAGUGAAAGACGGUUUUGCUGUCACUUAUAGAUGGAUCCGCGCCGCAUUAGCUAGUUGGUAAGGUAACGGCUUACCAAGGCGACGAUGCGUAGCCGACCUGAGAGGGUGAUCGGCCACACUGGAACUGAGACACGGUCCAGACUCCUACGGGAGGCAGCAGUAGGGAAUCUUCCGCAAUGGGCGAAAGCCUGACGGAGCAACGCCGCGUGAGUGAUGAAGGUCUUCGGAUCGUAAAACUCUGUUAUUAGGGAAGAAAAAAUGUGUAAGUAACUAUGCACGUAUUGACGGUACCUAAUCAGAAAGCCACGGCUAACUACGUG